rnacentral:rRNA from 1 species
CGGCAGGCUUAAUACAUGCAAGUUGAGGGGCAGCAUGAUAUACGCGAGUAUAUUGAUGGCGACCGGCGGACGGGUGAGUAAUAGGUAGGAGACCUACCUCAUACAGGGGGAUAGCAUAGAGAAAUCUGUGGUAAUACCCCAUGAGGUUAUAUGAAUAGAGGCAUAUAAUCAAAGCAUAAGCGAUUAUGCGGUAUGAGAGGGGCCUACUGACCAUUAGCUAGUUGGCGGGGUAAUGGCCCACCAAGGCGACGAUCCGUAGCUGGUCUGAGAGGAUGAUCAGCCACACUGGAACUGAGACACGGUCCAGACUCCUACGGGAGGCAGCAGUAGGGAAUAUUGGACAAUGGGCGCAAGCCUGAUCCAGCCAUGCCGCGUGAGUGAAGAAGGCCCUCGGGUUGUAAAGCUCUUUUGUCCGGAAAGAAAAGCGCCGGGUUAAUACCCUAGUGUCCUGACGGUACCGGAAGAAUAAGCACCGGCUAACUUCGUG